rnacentral:rRNA from 1 species
AGAAUCAACGCUGGCGGCGUGCCUAACACAUGCAAGUCGAACGAGAAAGUGGAGCAAUCCAUGAGUAAAGUGGCGACCGGGUGAGUAACACGUGACUAACCUACCUUCAAGUGGGGGAUAACCUCGGGAAACCGGGGCUAAUACCGCAUAACAUCUUUGGAGUGGAAAUUCUGGAGAUCAAAGGAGCAAUUCGCUGGAAGAGGGGGUCGCGGCUGAUUAGCUAGUUGGCGGGGUAAUGGCCCACCAAGGCUUUGAUCGGUAGCCGGCCUGAGAGGGCGCACGGCCACACUGGAACUGAAACACGGUCCAGACUCCUACGGGAGGCAGCAGUGGGGAAUUUUGCGCAAUGGGGGAACCCUGACGCAGCAACGCCGCGUGGAGGAUGAAGUCCCUUGGGACGUAAACUCCUUUCGACCGGGAAGAUUAUGACGGUACCGGUGGAAGAGCCCCGGCUAACUUCGCGCCAGCAGCCGC